rnacentral:ncRNA from 1 species
CCCUUGAGUAGAAGCGUUCAGCACACAGGCCCCGCGCCUGUGUUGCCCGGAAAUUGCUCAGUUU